ensembl:lncRNA
AGGCGCUAUAACUGCCCGGAUGCGUUACCAAGAUGGCUGCUUGAUGGACUUGAGUUUUUGCAAAAUCAAAUAUAAUUGUUGAAUGAGCAUUAGUUAGUACACCUUGACAUCUUGGAUACAAUAACAAGUUAGCAUGCCACGUUUGUGUGCUUUCUGCGGCUGUAAUAAUCGAGUGGGCUGUGGGCUUUCGUUUUUCGCAUUCCCAAAGGACAGUACAAGGUAACUUAGUCACAAAAUCACAUUGUUUUAAAUGACGCAGAAUGACGUGUUUUCGUAUAAAGACCAGUCAUUAAAGACUUACAUAAGCGGGGAUACGUAAGGUUUCUUACUCUGUGGUAUUUAAACACAUCAGCUCAGUCCCGUUAGGUGAUUCAGCCUUAAAGCAACCUCGCCACUCGGCAGCCAUCUUGGUAACGUCUGCAGGUACUUACGUAGCAUUUUAAUUUAGCUUUCGUUUAUAAUGUUCACGGAGGGCGAAAAACUCCACGCACAGAGUCACCAGUCAAGGGUUAUAAAAGCGCUUUACGGGGUUACUGACCUUUAAAAAAAGAGACAUCCAAAUUCGUUUUUCUUUAGAAAAUGCGUUACCAAGGUGACUGUCACAUAGCAAUACUUUGGUUUUGAAGUUUAAAUCACUUCUGAUUUUACUUAAUGACGUCAGGCAGUAAUAUGGCAUAAGUAAUGUACGAACAGCUGUUUCUUAAACACGUGUAAAGCGAAACAUGCAGAAGAACUCUGAAAAGCUGAUGCUGAUUUGUGUUUGAAGCAAUGUGAAUAAUUAAUACAGGAGGCGGAAAUGGCUUCUUAAUUUGAUGAGGGCAGACUUACCCCCCGACAGGACGAGAGAAGAGUCCGACAGAGCUGGGUAUGUGGUCUGCGAACAGCAUUUCAGGCCAAACGACAUAAACUCAAAGGGUAGAAGAAAACGUCUGGCUCCUGAAGCCAUCCCCAUUCUUCUGCACACUAUAAAGGAGGAACAGAGAGAUUUGGAGAUGCUUCCCACUGAUGUUCCUGCUCCAGUGCCUCUGCGAGACACACCCCCAUAUGAACAGGUCAUGGCAAUGUUUAACAAGCUGCUGGCAGAGAAGGAUGAGAAAAUCAAGGAUCUGAAAAGCAUUCUGCAGAGAGAGAGGGCCAGAAUGCGGCUGAUGAAGUUCCGUAUGAACAGCAAAAUCAGAGAACUGAAAAGAAAACUUGAACAGCAGCAGAACACUAGCGGUGACCAAGGCGAUCAGCUGACUGCUGCCUCCGACUGCCUUCCACAGGCAGCAAAGGAGUUUUUUGACAAGCAAAUAGCCAUGGCCAGGGUGAGGAAACACGGCCAGAGAUACGACAAGAAACAAAAGGACAUGGCAAUCCAGCUGUACAAACAGAGCCCAAGCUGUUACUCUGAACUCCAAAAAAUGUUUCAGUUACCGUCUUCAACCACUCUGAGGAGGCACCAGGUGGUCAGUCAGGAAGCGAGUCCAGACACAGCGGGUGACCCAGAGAGAGGUGAGGAGGAGAAACUUGCUGAUGUAGCUGGAUGGGUGGUGCAGAAAGUGGCUCAAGAUCCAGAAGUCAGUGCUUGUGCCGAAUGUGAAAGUUUGCUUGUGGAGACCAAUGACACUGAGCACAACUAUCACACACAGAUGGAGAAGGAUGCCGUCUCAGCUGUGAAGAAAAGCCCAACCUCUGCCAGGCUGCUUCAUCCAUCCGAAGCUUUCAAAGAAUGCAUUUCCAAAUGUGACGGUGUCAUCCAAAAAAUCCCCCCAAAUGCAAUGGCCCCGAAGAAAUUAAAGGCCUCCCUCAGAGCCAGCGGUGCUUUCAGUGAGCUCCACCGCAUCCAUCCUGCCCACUCAAAGGCCAUCGAGAGGGUUGCCUUGAAUAAAUAUGUAAUGUGCAGGGUGGUGGCCGAGCUGAAAGAAACAGCACAAAACAGAAAACGCACACAUGAGAAAAAAAGUGCUGCGUGUCAAGAGCUAAAUGUUAGCACCCAUGAAGUAAAUCAGGACUAAAUAAAUAUCAGAUGAUGUUAAUUUGAUAAUAAAUUAUUUUAGGCCAUUCUAACUUGUCUGUGUUGUUUCAAGCUUUCCUGCACUUGACCUAGAUGGAUUUAGUUUUUCAAUUUCAGUUCAAUUUUGUAUAGCGCCAUGCCUCAAGGCACUUAUUGUAAGCUAAAGACGCUACAAUAAUACAAAGAAAACCCCAACAAUCAGCCGUUUCAGUCUCCAUCGCUGUAUUUUAGCUGUCCGGUGCGUGUAAGUGUGUGUGUGAAGAAUCUCUAGCCAGAGAAAACAUGAUAUAAAUAAUUUAAAUCAGUGGAACUUUUGGUUGCUUCCUCCUUAUUUUACCACAACACACAGAUCCAUGUAUAAUUUGACACUGAUUUUCCAUUGGAUGCUAUUCCCGACACAACCCUCCCAUAAACCCAAGCUUGGGGCUGGCACUGGGUCUAGCUUGUGACCCCUGAGGUUCAGUUUGUGUCUCCUGUUCUUGCACUGGGUUCUUUUGGCUGUAAUGUGAAUGUGGCAACUACCAAACUAGAUAAAGUCC